rnacentral:rRNA from 1 species
CAGUAGCCGCGGUAAAACGUAGGUGGCAAGCGUUGUCCGGAAUUAUUGGGCGUAAAGGGCUCGCAGGCGGUUUCUUAAGUCUGAUGUGAAAGCCCCCGGCUCAACCGGGGAGGGUCAUUGGAAACUGGGAAACUUGAGUGCAGAAGAGGAUAGUGGAAUACCACGUGUAGCGGUGAAAUUCGUAGAGAUGUGGAGGAACACCAGUGGCGAAGGCGACUCUCUGGUCUGUAACUGACGCUGAGGAGCGAAAGCGUGGGGAGCGAACAGGAUUAGAUACCCGUGUAGUCCCUGUCUCUUAUAC